rnacentral:rRNA from 1 species
GAUGAACGCUGGCGGCGUGCCUAAUACAUGCAAGUCGAGCGAACAGACGAGGAGCUUGCUCCUCUGACGUUAGCGGCGGACGGGUGAGUAACACGUGGAUAACCUACCUAUAAGACUGGGAUAACUUCGGGAAACCGGAGCUAAUACCGGAUAAUAUAUUGAACCGCAUGGUUCAAUAGUGAAAGACGGUUUUGCUGUCACUUAUAGAUGGAUCCGCGCCGCAUUAGCUAGUUGGUAAGGUAACGGCUUACCAAGGCAACGAUGCGUAGCCGACCUGAGAGGGUGAUCGGCCACACUGGAACUGAGACACGGUCCAGACUCCUACGGGAGGCAGCAGUAGGGAAUCUUCCGCAAUGGGCGAAAGCCUGACGGAGCAACGCCGCGUGAGUGAUGAAAGUCCUCGGAUCGUAAAACUCUGUUAUUAGGGAAGAACAAAUGUGUAAGUAACUAUGCACGUCUUGACGGUACCUAAUCAGAAAGCCACGGCUAACUACGUG